rnacentral:rRNA from 1 species
AUUGAACGCUGGCGGCAGGCCUAACACAUGCAAGUCGAAUGGUAACAGGAAACAGCUUGCUGUUUCGCUGACGAGUGGCGGACGGGUGAGUAAUGUCUGGGAAACUGCCUGACGGAGGGGGAUAACUACUGGAAACGGUAGCUAAUACCGCAUAACGUCGCAAGACCAAAGAGGGGGACCUUCGGGCCUCUUGCCAUCAGAUGUGCCCAGAUGGGAUUAGCUAGUAGGUGGGGUAACGGCUCACCUAGGCGACGAUCCCUAGCUGGUCUGAGAGGAUGACGAGCCACACUGGAAAUGAGACACGGUCAAGACUCCUACGGGAGGCAGCAGUGGGGAAUAUUGCACAAUGGGCGCAAGACUGAUGCAGACAUGCCGCGUGUAUGAAGAAGGACUUCGGGUUGUAAAGUAAUUUCAGCGGGGAGGAAGGGAGUAAAGUUAAUACAUGUGAUCAUUGACGUUACCCGCAGAAGAAGCACCGGCUAACUCCGUG